UGGCAGCUGGCUCCUGAUUGUCAGAACCACCUAAAUGCAGUGGUGAGGCCGGAGCUUCAGGGUGACGUGCUGAGAAGGGGCUAAAAGCUUGGUGAUGAACCCCCCAGAGCUUACCAUUACCUCACACCCUGGACAGCAUCUGGCCAUUGCCCGCCCUGAGAAGCUGCACCACCUGCCCCUCCCAGCUGUGAAAUCUCCAGCCUCGGCCUCUGUGUCUGUCAGCUGGAUUUCCUCGAGCCUCUCAUGGGGACUGGGGGUCUCCACCCGCCCCUACCAUCCAGGCUGUGUGCCCUUGGACAAGGGGCUCCCUCUCCAAGCCUCUUGUUUCUCCUCCUUGAAAUAAGAAUACUAACUAGGAAAACUAACAGAAUGUCCGGGGUUUUGUCAGGAUGACUUGAGUCACCGAGCUCCGUCUUACAGCAGCUGAUACUGUCAUUGCUACUCCGUAUUCAUGAAAGUCCGUUUAAUGUCGUUUCCAGCAGAACUAGAAUGCGAGCCACGUAGGUCACUUAGAUCUUUCUUAAAAAGUGAAAAUAAACUAGUGCAAGUGAUUUUAAUGUCACUUAACCUGAUACAUCUCAAAUGUUUCAACGUGUGGCACUGGCCACAUUUCAAGGGCUCAGUGGUCACUUGUGGCCCGUGGCGACUGUAUUGGACGGUGCAGGCAGAGGAAUACAUGCAAACAUGCUUCAGGCUGGAGAAAUCAAGAGACUUCCCACCGGAGGGAGUAUCAGCACUGGACACCGAAAGAAUGCUUGAGAUCCUCACACGUGUGGCUGUGUUUCUACUGGGCGAUGUAAAGUCGUGCUUGCAUUCCGCGGUCCUGUGGCCCACCUGCCGAACCAUGCUGCGCCGCUCCAGACCUGGGUACCCCUCUCGGGGUGCCUCGCUGUACACUGAGGGUGCUCGUGGCUCCACCCCAAGGUUACUGUGAGAAUUAGUAGAGAGAAUGCAUGUCAAGUGCUCACAGUGAACACGCAGAAAUAUCUGCCGUUGUGCGAUGGUCGUGGCUGUGGUCACUGCUAUUGUUACCCGCUGAGGCCCAGAGAGGGAAGCACCUGUCCUGGGGUCACGCAGCAGGGCAGUGGGACUAGCAGCCUCCCCAAGGCAGGGUGUGGGAGCCCCUCCACCCAUACCCCAGACAUCCAG
rnacentral:lncRNA from 12 species